GCCUUCGUGGUGUAGUGGUCAGCACACUUGACGCGUAACCGAGAGGUCCGUGGUUCGAUUCCCGGCGAAGGCG
rfam:Stegodyphus mimosarum contig99864, whole genome shotgun sequence.